rnacentral:rRNA from 1 species
UGAAUACGAGACGCUACGGCGUCGAAGCAGUCUAUGUCAUACUUCCAAGAAAAGCUUGCACUGUCAUAAACAAAUAAUGCCUGUACCAUAACCGACACAGGUGGGUAGGUAGAGUAUACUAAGGGGCGCGAGAUAACUCUCUCUAAGGAACUCGGCAAAAUGACUCCGUAACUUCGGGAGAAGGAGUGCCUUAUUUAUAAGGUUGCAAUAACAAGAUCCAAGCAACUGUUUAUCAAAAACACAGGUCUCCGCUAAGUCGUAAGACGAUGUAUGGGGGCUGACGCCUGCCCAGUGCCAGAAGGUUAAAUAAGUUGGUUAGCAUUAGCGAAGCUGAUAACUGAAGCCCUGGUGAACGGCGGCCGUAACAAUAACGGUCCUAAGGUAGCGAAAUUCCUUGUCGGGUAAGUUCCGACCCGCACGAAAGGCGUAAUGAUUUGGAUACUGUCUCAGAGAGGGGCUCGGUGAAAUAGACUUGUCUGUGAAGAUGCGGACUACCUGCACCAGGACAGAAAGACCCUAUGAAGCUUUACUGUAACUUGAAAUUGAAAUUGGACUUUAUUUGCGCAGUAUAGGUGGGAGGCAUUGAUAAUAUUCUUGCGGGAAUGUUGGAGCCAUCAGUGAGAUACCACUCUUGUAAUGUUAGAUUUCUAACUUUGGAUCAUUAUCUGGUCAAAGGACAGUUUCAGGCGGGCAGUUUGACUGGGGCGGUCGCCUCCUAAAUGGUAACGGAGGCGCACAAAGGUUUCCUCUGAACGGGUAGAAAUCGUAUCUAGAGUGUAAAGGCAUAAGGAAGCUUGACUGUGAGACCUACAAGUCGAGCAGGGACGAAAGUCGGUCUUAGUGAUCUGACGGUGCUGAGUGGAAAGGCCGUCACUCAACGGAUAAAAGUUACUCUAAGGAUAACAGGCUGAUCUCCCCCAAGAGUUCACAUCGACGGGGAGGUUUGGCACCUCGAUGUCGGCUCAUCGCAUCCUGGGGCGGUAGUACGUCCCAAGGGUUGGGCUGUUCGCCCAUGAAAGCGGUACGCGAGCUGGGUUCAGAACGUCGUGAGACAGUUCGGUCCAUAUCCGGUGUAGGCGUUAGAAUAUUGAGAGGAGCCUUCUUUAGUACGAGAGGACCGAGAAGGACAUACCUCUGGUGUACCAGUUAUCGUGCCAACGGUAAACGCUGGGUAGCUAUGUAUGGAGAGGAUAACCGCUGAAAGCAUCUAAGUGGGAAGCCCACCUCAAGAUAAGUAUUCUCAUCAC